rnacentral:tRNA from 1 species
AACAAAUUCUUUCAUGGCAGCAUUGUCUUUAUUUGCUUCUACAAACUUGUGAACAAUCUUAGUGAAAUCACGA